UACGUAGGUGGCAAGCGUUGUCCGGAAUUACUGGGUGUAAAGGGCGUGCAGCCGGGCCGACAAGUCAGAUGUGAAAUCCGCGGGCUUAACCCGCGAACUGCAUUUGAAACUAUUGGUCUUGAGUACCGGAGAGGUCAUCGGAAUUCCUUGUGUAGCGGUGAAAUGCGUAGAUAUAAGGAAGAACACCAGUGGCGAAGGCGGAUGACUGGACGGCAACUGACGGUGAGGCGCGAAAGCGUGGGGAGCAAACAGG
rnacentral:rRNA from 1 species